rnacentral:rRNA from 1 species
UACGGAGGGGGCUAGCGUUGUUCGGAAUUACUGGGCGUAAAGCGCGCGUAGGCGGCUUUGUAAGUUAGAGGUGAAAGCCCAGAGCUCAACUCUGGAAUUGCCUUUAAGACUGCAUCGCUAGAAUUGUGGAGAGGUAAGUGGAAUUCCGAGUGUAGAGGUGAAAUUCGUAGAUAUUCGGAAGAACACCAGUGGCGAAGGCGACUUACUGGACACAUAUUGACGCUGAGGUGCGAAAGCGUGGGGAGCAAACAGG